GUGGAACUUUCACACAAUGUCUUCAGAAACCCAAGAGAGAUUGCUCACUUUUUUUCUAUUAUGUAAGGACACAGUGAGAAGGCACCAUCUAUGAAGUAGAAAAUGGGCCUCACCAGACACAAAAUCCAUCAGUAACAUGAUCUUGGACUUCUUCGCUUCCAGAACUCACAAGUAUUGCUUUUCCACACCACUUGCCAACACUCCGAAGACAUACAAAACUAGGAUGAAUUUCUACCCACGGCAAAGGAAUGGAGAAAACCAGCCUGUGCUGCUUUCACCCUCUAUUAUAGAAUUAUAGACUGGAGAAUGGGCAGAAAGGCAGAGAAAUAAACAGGGAUCAGAUUAUAAAAGUUUCCUUAUU
rnacentral:lncRNA from 13 species